UACGUAGGCAGCAAGCGUUGUUCGGAAUUACUGGGCGUAAAGCGUGCGUAGGCGGUGCCUCAAGUUUGGUGUGAAAUCUCCCGGCUCAACUGGGAGGGUGCGCCGAAAACUGAGGUGCUCGAGUGUGGGAGAGGUAGGCGGAAUUCCUGGUGUAGCGGUGAAAUGCGUAGAUAUCAGGAGGAACACCGGCGGUGUAGACGGCUUACUGGACCAUUACUGACGCUGAGGCACGAAAGUGUGGGGAGCAAACGGG
rnacentral:rRNA from 1 species